rnacentral:rRNA from 1 species
CCAUUAAGAUGAUAAGGGCGUAU